rnacentral:rRNA from 1 species
GACGAACGCUGGCGGCGUGCUUAACACAUGCAAGUCGAACGGAAAGGCCCUGCUUGCAGGGUACUCGAGUGGCGAACGGGUGAGUAACACGUGGGUGAUCUGCCCUGCACUUCGGGAUAAGCCUGGGAAACUGGGUCUAAUACCGGAUAGGAGCCAUUUUUAGUGUGAUGGUUGGAAAGUUUUUUCGGUGUAGGAUGAGCUCGCGGCCUAUCAGCUUGUUGGUGGGGUAAUGGCCUACCAAGGCGGCGACGGGUAGCCGGCCUGAGAGGGUGGACGGCCACAUUGGGACUGAGAUACGGCCCAGACUCCUACGGGAGGCAGCAGCGGGGAAUAUUGCACAAUGGGCGCAAGCCUGAUGCAGCGACGCCGCGUGGGGGAGGACGGCCUUCGGGUUGUAAACUCCUUUCGCUAGGGACGAAGCUUUUUGUGACGGUACCUAGAUAAGAAGCACCGGCUAACUACGUG